rnacentral:rRNA from 1 species
AGUGAACGCUGGCGGUAGGCCUAACACAUGCAAGUCGAACGGCAGCACAGUAAGAGCUUGCUCUUACGGGUGGCGAGUGGCGGACGGGUGAGGAAUACAUCGGAAUCUACUUUUUCGUGGGGGAUAACGUAGGGAAACUUACGCUAAUACCGCAUACGACCUACGGGUGAAAGAAGGGGAUCUUCGGCCCUUGCGCGAUUGAAUGAGCCGAUGUCGGAUUAGCUAGUUGGCGGGGUAAAGGCCCACCAAGGCGACGAUCCGUAGCUGGUCUGAGAGGAUGAUCAGCCACACUGGAACUGAGACACGGUCCAGACUCCUACGGGAGGCAGCAGUGGGGAAUAUUGGACAAUGGGCGCAAGCCUGAUCCAGCCAUACCGCGUGGGUGAAGAAGGCCUUCGGGUUGUAAAGCCCUUUUGUUGGGAAAGAAAAGCAGCAGGUUAAUACCCCGCUGUUCUGACGGUACCCAAAGAAUAAGCACCGGCUAACUUCGUG